rnacentral:rRNA from 1 species
GUCCAGCCUGCCCAGUGAUAUAAUUCAACGGCCGCGGUACCCUAACCGUGCGAAGGUAGCAUAAUCACUUGUUCUUUAAAUAAGGACUUGUAUCAACGGCAUCACGAGGACUGUACUGUCUCCUUUCUCCAAUCAGUGAAACUGAUCUCCCCGUGAAGAAGCGGGGAUUAACCUAUAAGACGAGAAGACCCCAUGGAGCUUAAAGCCCACACAACUCUAUGCACUUAAAUCAAUACAGCCCAAGAAACCUGCAAACGGCUUUAGGUUGGGGGGACCGCGGAGUAAAAACUAACCUCCACGACAAACGGGCCUACGCCCUUAUCCAAGAAUGACAAUUCUAAGAAUCAAUAAACUGAUGUUUAAUGACCCGAUUAUUCGAUCAACGAACCAAGUUACCCUGGGGAUAACAGCGCAAUCUACUUCAAGAGCCCCUAUCAACAAGUAGGUUUACGACCUCGAUGUUGGAUCAGGGUAUCCUAGUGGUGCAGCCGCUACUAAAGGUUCGUUUGUUCAACGAUUAAAACCCUACGUGAUCUGGU